CCCUUAGAUGCUCUGGGCCGCACGCGCGCUACACUGACGAAUGCAACGAGCUUAUAACCUUGGCCGAAAGGUCUGGGUAAUCUCCAAAUUUCGUCGUGAUGGGGAUAGAUUAUUGCAAUUAUUAAUCUUCAAUGAGGAAUGCCUAGUAAGCGCAAGUCAUCAGCUUGCGUUGAUUACGUCCCUGCCCUUUGUACACACCGCCCGUCGCUCCUACCGAUUGAAUGGUCCGGUGAAGCGUUCGGACCGUGGCCUUUGGACGGUUCGCCGUCUGUUGGCUGCGGGAAGUUCGUUAAACCUUAUCAUUUAGAGGAAGGAGAAGUCGUAACA
rnacentral:rRNA from 1 species